rfam:Ovis aries breed Texel chromosome 1, whole genome shotgun sequence.
CCUGGUGGCUCAGACGGUAAAGCGUCUGCCUACAAUGCAGGAGACCCGGGUUUGAUCCCUGGGUCAGGA